rnacentral:rRNA from 1 species
GAACGGAGAGAUUCAUCGUCAUUCCCCGGCGCGCCGCGCGCGCGCUCGAUGCCCGUCGUUCCGGCGGCGGGCACGGCGCGCGUCGGCACGCGUCCGGGGACGGCGUGCACUUCUCUCUCAGUAAGACAUCGCGACCCGUUCGAUGUCGGCCUAAGCGCCGCCCGGGAGCCCAGCGGCGUUCGCGCGCCGUUGGACCGCGGCGGUGGCCGGCCGGCGUACGGACGGUACAAAACGUGAAACGCGCACGCGCUCUUGCGCGUCCGGCGCGACGCAAGGCAACGUCGUCAUCGAUCGCCUGCCGCAAGCGCGGCGGUCGGUGCGGCGCGCCUGCUAUCGCAGCCGUAUUGUCUCGGACCGUGCGCGUCUCGGUCGGCGAUGAUUCUGUUUCGGGCACUCGCAGGACCCGUCUUGAAACACGGACCAAGGAGUCUAGCAUGUGUGCGAGUCAUAGAGAUUCGAAAACUGAAAGGCGUAACGAAAGUGAAGAGUGCCUCGCGCACUCUUGGGAGGAUGGAGCGCGAUCUCGGUCGCGCUCUCGCACUCCCGG